rnacentral:misc_RNA from 1 species
GAUGAAGAACGUAGUGAAAUGCGAUACGUAAUGUGAAUUGCAGAAUUCAGUGAAUCAUCGAGUCUUUGAACGCACAUUGCGCCCCCUGGCAUUCCGGGGGGCAUGCCUGUCCGAGCGUCAUUGCUGCCCUUCAAGCCCGGCUUGUGUGUUGGGUCGUCGUCCCCCCCGGGGGACGGGCCCGAAAGGCAGCGGCGGCACCGCGUCCGGUCCUCGAGCGUAUGGGGCUUUGUCACCCGCUCGAUUAGGGCCGGCCGGGCGCCAGCCGGCGUCUCCAACCUUCUAUUUUACCAGGUUGACCUCGGAUCAGGUAGGGAUACCCGCUGAACUUAAGCAUAUCAAUAAGCGGAGGA